UGGGGAAUUUUGGACAAUGGGCGCAAGCCUGAUCCAGCCAUGCCGCGUGUCUGAAGAAGGCCUUCGGGUUGUAAAGGACUUUUGUCAGGGAAGAAAAGGGCGGGGUUAAUACCCCUGUCUGAUGACGGUACCUGAAGAAUAAGCACCGGCUAACUACGUGCCAGCAGCCGCGGUAAUACGUAGGGUGCGAGCGUUAAUCGGAAUUACUGGGCGUAAAGCGGGCGCAGACGGUUACUUAAGCAGGAUGUGAAAUCCCCGGGCUCAACCUGGGAACUGCGUUCUGAACUGGGUGACUAGAGUGUGUCAGAGGGAGGUAGAAUUCCACGUGUAGCAGUGAAAUGCGUAGAGAUGUGGAGGAAUACCGAUGGCGAAGGCAGCCUCCUGGGAUAACACUGACGUUCAUGCCCGAAAGCGUGGGUAGCAAACAGGAUUAGAUACCCUGGUAGUCCACGCCCUAAACGAUGUCGAUUAGCUGUUGGGCAGCUUGACUGCUUAGUAGCGAAGCUAACGCGUGAAAUCGACCGCCUGGGGAGUACGGCCGCAAGAUUA
rnacentral:rRNA from 1 species